AUUGAACGCUGGCGGCAGGCCUAACACAUGCAAGUCGAGCGGAUGAAGGGAGCUUGCUCCUGGAUUCAGCGGCGGACGGGUGAGUAAUGCCUAGGAAUCUGCCUGGUAGUGGGGGAUAACGUCCGGAAACGGGCGCUAAUACCGCAUACGUCCUGAGGGAGAAAGUGGGGGAUCUUCGGACCUCACGCUAUCAGAUGAGCCUAGGUCGGAUUAGCUAGUUGGUGGGGUAAAGGCCUACCAAGGCGACGAUCCGUAACUGGUCUGAGAGGAUGAUCAGUCACACUGGAACUGAGACACGGUCCAGACUCCUACGGGAGGCAGCAGUGGGGAAUAUUGGACCAUGGGCGAAAGCCUGCUCCAGCCAUGCCGCGUGUGUGAAGAAGGUCUUCGGAUUUUAAAGCACUUUAAGUUGGGAGGAAGGGCAGUAAGUUCAUACCUUGCUGUUUUGACGUUACCAACAGAAUAAGCACCGGCUAACUUCGUG
rnacentral:rRNA from 1 species